GGACGGGGAGAUGAGGUGGACGUGGGCGUCGAACCCUCCCGCCGUGAGGAUCUUGCCCUCGCCGCUGAUGAUGUCGGUGGACGGCCCGAUGCGCAGCGCGGGGUGCACCCCGUCGGCCACAUCGGGGUUGCCGGCCUUGCCGAGGGCGACGAUCCGCCCGUCGCGAAUGCCGACGUCCGCGCGCACGACACCCCACCAGUCGAGGACGACGACGUUGGUGAUCACCGUGUCGGGCGCGCCCUCGGCGCGGGUCGU
rnacentral:sRNA from 1 species